CCUUAUAAUUUAUAAAAAAAAAAAAUAUUAAGUUGUGGUCUUAAAAAAGGUUCUCUCCUUAAUAAC
rnacentral:tRNA from 1 species